rnacentral:rRNA from 1 species
CACGUAGGGGGCGAGCGUUGUCCGGAUUUAUUGGGCGUAAAGAGCUCGUAGGCGGUUCACUAAGUCGGGUGUGAAACCUCCAGCUCAACCUGGAGACGCCACCUGAUACUGGUGUGACUAGAGUCCGGUAGGGGGAGUGUGGAACUCCUGGUGUAGCGGUGAAAUGCGCAGAUAUCAGGAAGAACACCAGCGGCGAAGGCGGCACUCUGGGGCCGGUACUGACGCUGAGGGAGCGAAAAGCGUGGGGUAGCAAAACAGG